AACGAACGCUGGCGGCAUGCCUAACACAUGCAAGUCGAACGAGACCUUCGGGUCUAGUGGCGCACGGGUGCGUAACGCGUGGGAACCUGCCCUUAGGUUCGGAAUAACUCCCCGAAAGGGGUGCUAAUACCGGAUAAUGUCUUCUGACCAAAGAUUUGUCGACUUUGGAUGGGCCCGCGUUGGAUUAGCUAGUGGGUAGGGUAAAAGCCUACCAAGGCGACGAUCCAUAGCUGGUCUGAGAGGAUGAGCAGCCACACUGGGACUGAGACACGGCCGGGACUCCUGCGGGAGGGAGCAGUGGGGAAUAUUGGACAAUGGGCGAAAGCCUGAUGCAGCAAUGCCGCGUGAGUGAUGAAGGCCGUAGGGUUGUAAAGCUCUUUUACCCGGGAUGAUAAUGACAGUACCGGGAGAAUAAGCUCCGGCUAACUCCGUG
rnacentral:rRNA from 1 species